rnacentral:rRNA from 1 species
AAAUCUUACCGGGUCCGGACACACUGAGGAUUGACAGGAAUUAUCGUGUUUUAAAAAUUUUCUUCGGAAUUUUUUUUUUUUCACGUGUUAAAUAUGCUAGUCCUUUCAUGAUUAUGUGAUAGGUGGUGCAUGGCCGUUCUUAGUUCGUGGAGUGAUCUGUCUGCUUAAUUGCGUUUCACAACGAGCUUACACUAUAACGCAUUGUUUGUGAGGUAGUCUGACCCCUUGGCUUCGGCCACAGCGCGUGUCUUUCUGCCAUCAUCACAUCAUGCUUCGUAAAGCUCUGAAAGCAACGAACGUGACCGCAACCUCUUGUUGCCUGUAUUACAAACUGACGUCUCAUUUUUUAAAUGUGCGUUAUAUAAACAGGCCUUAUAUUAAUAAACUAGAGGGACCGCUGCUUUUUCCUUAAACCAGAGGAAGGUUGCGGCAAUAA